UACGUAGGGGGCAAGCGUUGUCCGGAUUUAUUGGGCGUAAAGAGCUCGUAGGCGGUUUGGUAAGUCUGGUGUGAAAAUCUCCACGCUCAACGUGGAGGGGCCACCCGAUACUGCCAUGACUGGAGUCCGGUAGAGGAGUGUGGAAUUCCCGGUGUAGCGGUGAAAUGCGCAGAUAUCGGGAGGAACACCCGUAGCGAAGGCGGCACUCUGGGCCGGUACUGACGCUGAGGAGCGAAAGCGUGGGAGCAAACAGG
rnacentral:rRNA from 1 species